GCAGCCAGAAAGAAAGGAGCUCCCUGAGCAAAGAGACAAGAACCGCUGGUACAGCCCAUGCCGGGUAAAGGAUGGCAGCUCUGAGACGUGUCGAGCCAAGUGAGAGCAGCCAGAUACUGCCAUCACUCUGCAAAGCAGCCAAGAGAGGCAAAUCGCUCUCCUCUUUACCUUUGACAACUAAAACAUACACCUGCCUCUCUCACACACACCCCCCACCACUCCUUAUUACACACACACACGCAUGCACACACACACCCCCAUACCACUCCUCAUUAUGAGACUUCACUCUUCCCUCUCAUGAUGAGCUACUCCCAGCUCUGCCUUUAUUAUAAUGCAAGUAUCUGCAGAAAUCCUAUCAGAAGGUGCUGACUUACAGAAGAACAGAAGGUGAGUGGAUUGUCAGUAGCAGCACACGUACUGAGAAAGACACAGGAUCUGCAGUAAACAGUCUCUCUCCAGCCCUGAAGAUAAAAGUAACUCAACUGAAGCCAUUUCCUCACAAAGAGUUGCAAAGAAAGUUUAAGAGGAAAUAUGCAUAUGGAUUUUUAUUGUGCUCACCCUUUAUUUUGUGUGAAUAAAUAAUACAAAGAAGUGGAAAAAGCUGAAGAAGAGGAACAGUCCCAGGUUUCUAGAAGAAAGGGCUUGCAGAUAGAAAAUGCAGCUGGGCCUGUUCGGUAAACAGGAGAACGGGGUUCCUGAGAGCCGCUAUAAACCAU